UUAAACGGGUAUUUAACAAUGUAUCGACC
rnacentral:sRNA from 1 species